rnacentral:rRNA from 1 species
CUGCUGUAGCGCCACUGACGCUGAUGCUCGAAAGCGUGGGUAUCGAACAGGAUUAGAUACCCUGGUAGUCCACGCGGUAAACGAUGGAUGCUCGCUGUGUGCCUUUGAGGUACGUGGCCAAGGGAAACCAUUAAGCAUCCCACCUGGGGAGUACGCCGGCAACGGUGAAACUCAAAGGAAUUGACGGGGGCCCGCACAAGCGGAGGAACAUGUGGUUUAAUUCGAUGAUACGCGAGGAACCUUACCCGGGCUUGAACUGCCAGCGGACGAUUCAGAGAUGAUGAGGCCCUUCGGGGCGCUGGUGGAGGUGCUGCAUGGUUGUCGUCAGCUCGUGCCGUGAGGUGUCGGCUUAAGUGCCAUAACGAGCGCAACCCCUUUCGUCAGUUGCCAUCAGGUAAAGCUGGGCACUCUGGCGACACUGCCACCGUAAGGUGUGAGGAAGGUGGGGAUGACGUCAAAUCAGCACGGCCCUUACGUCCGGGGCUACACACGUGUUACAAUGGCGCAUACAGAGAGUCGGUCCUGCGCAAGCAGGGUCUAAUCAUGAAAGUGCGUCGUAGUUCGGACUGGGGUCUGCAACCCGACCCCACGAAGCUGGAU